rnacentral:rRNA from 1 species
AGCGAACGCUGGCGGCAGGCCUAACACAUGCAAGUCGAACGAUCCUUCGGGAUAGUGGCGGACGGGUGAGUAACACGUGGGAACGUGCCCUUUGGUUCGGAACAACUCAGGGAAACUUGAGCUAAUACCGAAUGUGCCCUUCGGGGGAAAGAUUUAUCACCAUUGGAGCGGCCCGCGUCUGAUUAGCUAGUUGGUGAGGUAAUGGCUCACCAAGGCGACGAUCAGUAGCUGGUCUGAGAGGAUGAUCAGCCACACUGGGACUGAGACACGGCCCAGACUCCUACGGGAGGCAGCAGUGGGGAAUCUUGCGCAAUGGGCGAAAGCCUGACGCAGCCAUGCCGCGUGAAUGAUGAAGGUCUUAGGAUUGUAAAAUUCUUUCACCGGGGACGAUAAUGACGGUACCCGGAGAAGAAGCUCCGGCUAACUUCGUGCCAGCAGCCGCGGUAACAC